CAACUUGAGAGUUUGAUCCUGGCUCAGAACGAACGCUGGCGGCAGGCUUGACACAUGCAUGUCGAACGCCUGAUCAUCUUCGGAUGUGAAGGAGUGGCAGACGGGUGAGUAACGCGUGGGAAACUACCUUAUAGUUCGGAAUAAUCCAUGGAAACGUGGCCUAAUAC
rnacentral:rRNA from 1 species